GAGAGUCAAGUCCUGGAUUGCUGCCGUACUCCUGACUUGGAAAUUUGGCAAGAACACUUGAGUGGCGGAACCCGCCGAGGGAGUUUGCCCCUAAAAGCUGCGGAAUUCUACCUCUGCUCAUCAAAGGCAGUGAGGGGGAAGUUGAAAGUGUUGGAGAGAGCGGGAAUCUGGAGUUCAGAGCCUGAAACUUCGCGCCUCUGGAAGCAAGACCUGAGAUCAAAGAGAAUUGCUCUUGAGACCCUGGAAGGAGAAGGAGGAAUGCACGCAGCCCAGGUUGGAGGGAAGGAGGUAAAGAUGAGGAAAAGCUUGAGUUUGGGCAAAGCAGCACGUAGCCGACAUGCCAAGAAUGAACAGGCACUCAAUAAACACUUGCAGAGAGAUGGAUGAUGAAACUGCCAUAGUACAAUGCUUCAGGUGAGAGAUUUAUAUGCUAAAAACAAUUACAUUUUUAAAAUCAGUUAGGCAAGGGUGUUAUUAAAUUUAAAUUCCAAUUACCCUAUGCAAAAAUUUCAGAAAGAACUGCUUUAUUCUUUAUUAAAUGAAAAAUAGAGAGGUACAGGGAAGGUGGGUCUCCUUUUUCUGAAAACGCUCCAUCAUGCAGAGGCUGCCUGAAUGGUAUUUAUGCGCCAACCCUUUUUUUGAAGUACAUUUGGAAAGAAUGAUUGGACGUUACCUGCCUAUGCCCUAGACUAGGAAAGCAGAAAUUAAAACUAUUCAUCAAGUUUAAACUAAAAGAAGCAAUAGGCUAAUGCAAGCUGGACUGGGAGGAUACACAGGAUUGUCUUUUGGCCUCAUUAUCAACCAGCUUUAUGUUAAGGAGGAGUGACCCACUUCCAACACGAAAGCCCUCAAUUCUGUGAGGCCACUGCCCCAGCCACCACGAACCUGACAAAAGAAUUUUGUAUACAGUCCCAUAGAAAGCAUACGAACUUCAUAUAAAACAGACUACUCUCUCUUGGCAGGAAUGGUAUUAUUAUUAUUAUUUGGGUAAUGAGUCAUCUAAGAUAAAGAGUGACAGCAGGAAAAAACAGUAAGUAGGCGCUGUCAUCUACUCUUAAGAUAGGGCUGGAGAGUAUCACUGUGAGGUUGGGUAAUUCACCCUUUCUCAAGGGAGUCCUCAUACAGCACUGAUUAUUAUAAUUAUCAACUUGCCCAUGCCAGGCGUUCCCUAAUUUGUAAGGGAUAUAUAUGAGGGCUGUCCAGCCAAGUAAUAUGAAAAAUAGAGACAUACAUGGCUGGACACUUUUUGGACAGCCCUUUAAUAUCGGUAGAUCUAAACUAUAUAUUAU